CUGGUCUGCUGGUGCCUGUCUGCUAAGUCAGGACUUCCUGUGUGCCUUACUUUCAACCUGAUGGCUAUCUCCACAGGUUCCUCCAUAGGCUGCUGUCACGAAAGGCACAGUCAACCUUCCGGCCACAGCUCAGAGCAGCUGUUUUACCAAUGGAGGCUUUGAAAUAGGGCCACCACUUGGACCACUGGAUUAAGUGUUCCACUGCUUAAAGUUUUAUUUUUUAUUAAGAUGGAAAUCAUUUCCUGACAGUGUGAUGACACACCAUUUUCAGCAGGUCAGAUGAGUUCCUAUAAUUAUGUAAAUCACCAUGGUUUCGUGGAUUGGGAGUUCAAACUGGUCAGGAGGUUGGAGAGAGGGAUCAUGGGUACUGCUGCAGUUCGAGGUCAUGUGGAAAGACAGCUUGUGGAGAUCUACAGCAGAUGACCAUGACAAUCCAGGUGUGGAAAGAGUGGACUGUUUAAUCUGAAUUUGGCAUAGUCAAAGAUGGACAAGUCUUGUGGUGCCAUACGGCACCACAAGGUGUGGGUUUUUUUCUACUGCCAUUUAUACAUGAGUUUAGCAACACACAAACUGUGCAAAAUAAUAUAUUUGAAACUAAAUUAGUCAAUUGAUGUUGAUAAAGCCUGAACUGUAUUGUACUGAACCCUACCUUCAAAAAAAAAAAAAGACAGCUUUAUGAUGUCUUGUGGAAUUGUUUGCAUUCUGGAUUGCUUGGUGCAGUGGAGUAGCUAGUUUUUGUAUUAUGGAGAUGGAUAUGUAGUAUCUUAUGUGGUGGAAUUAUAGUUGCUGUUGCCUAUUAAUAACUUUUUGAAGUGCACUUGUGUUGAGGAAUGUGAACCUGUUAGACUCUCUGCUAAUCAGCACCUGAUUAAAGGCACACCUGAUGUCAGUUAAGCACAGAGCUGAAGCAAUAUGCGAAAAAGCAUAGUUUUGGUAAUCUGUUAAAAUAGUGUCUACGGAAUGUAUCUUUUACUGGCUACACCUGCAUCGCACGUACAGCGCAGGUUUGUGUGAGGCAAAACAAGAUUGUGAGCUUUCGUUUUGGGAUGGUGUCUUCAGUUUUUGGACUCAGUACAGCACUGUUAAAUGUCAACUUUUUCACUGAGUUUGUGUAAUAUGGGUAAGUUACCCUACAGAAUACCGUAGGUUAUGUAAGGGAUAAAGUUAAGGGCGGGUUCACACCAGUCUUGUUUAGUUUGGUUGAACCAAACCCUGGAGGGUUUACCCCCUUGGUGCAGUUCGUUUGGGUCUGUGAGAAUGCUGGACUUGGACCAAACAGCCGCUCUCUGGUCCGCCUUGAAGGUGUGGUCUAGGACCGCUGUCAAGUGAACUCUGCAUGUUUGUAAUUGUGGCCCACUUAUCUCACUGGUCCACUUUGCAUAGCAAACAAGUCGUGAAAGGAUCUCAUCAGAAUUAACCAUCAGCUGUGAUAAGACUGAUGGCAGAGCGUCUUGCUCGAAAUGCCUGCAUUUUAAAAUCAUUUAAUACCCGCUGUCUUCAUAUGCGCGGUUCUCUAAUGUCUGCUCAUAUGCCUACAGAUCAACAUCAACAUAGCGUUUGUUGUCUCUUUACCAGCAGACUGUAUGACCAAUAAUCAAAUGACAUUUCCACCACAUGGCUUUUGUUUACAAUAUCUAGACCGUUUGAUUUUUGCCUUUGUGAAUGCAAACCGGACCAGUUGAAACAAUGUAUCAUCCUCGCAUUGGUUCGAUUCAGGGACCGGACCUUUGUGUGAACCCGCCGUAAGCAAACGCUAGCUGGUACUGGCAAAAUCAAUACAGACAGGGUGAUCAAGACCCCAAAGUAGCCCUUGAUACAACGUAGCCGAUAUACAGGUUGGCUACUUAUCAAAGAUAAAUAUAAAUUGACAGAAAAUAUUUAUUUAAAAUUAGGGUAUUUCAUUAACUUGUUGGUGUUACAGAAACUAGCAAAGAAACUAGUUGCCUAUAUCAACUGUCAGUUAAAUAGUUAAGCUAAGCGAUCGUCAUUCAGAAGUAAAUGAAUUCCAGCUAACAUUAGAUUCAUAUUUCUUGUAGCCGAAAUUUUUUUUCUAGUCUAUAUAAAUUGUUUUUACAACACCUGUUGUGACACUUUCCGCAUGUGUUACGUGUUCAAUGUAGCCAAAGCAUAAGUCUUAACUGAGGCUCAAUAAAAGCUGUUACCGGUCUGUGUGGAAAUGAAUAGUGGAAAUAGAUCAGGUUUUAACAGUGGAGAAAUACAGAUUUUGCAGUGGGCCAUUUUGCAUGCUUUUCUUUAAAAACUGCUUGUGUAUCACGGUAGGAGGUCCAGAUGAAAAUAAAGUUGGUUUGAAGUGUCUUUGACAAAUAAAAAAUGAGAAAGCUUUUGACUCAAAUCUGAAAAGCUCUCUUGGCCAUGCACUUUUAUGACAGUCCCUAAAUUAAGCAAGUCAUUUUCUUGUCUACUGUCAAGCUGCUGAAGGUGUCAGGCUUCAAUAUUGGAUCAUGAAAUGAAAAUAACACAUGUGGAA